ACACUCCUGCGGGAGGCAGCAGUGGGGAAUAUUGCACAAUGGGCGCAAGCCUGAUGCAGCGACGCCGCGUGGGGGAUGAAGGCCUUCGGGUUGUAAACUCCUUUCGCUAGGGACGAAGCUUUUUUGUGACGGUACCUAGAUAAGAAGCACCGGCUAACUACGUGCCAGCAGCCGCGGUAAUACGUAGGGUGCGAGCGUUGUCCGGAAUUACUGGGCGUAAAGGGCUCGUAGGUGGUUUGUCGCGUCGUCUGUGAAAUUCUGGGGCUUAACUCCGGGCGUGCAGGCGAUACGGGCAUAACUUGAGUGCUGUAGGGGUAACUGGAAUUCCUGGUGUAGCGGUGAAAUGCGCAGAUAUCAGGAGGAACACCGGUGGCGAAGGCAGGUUACUGGGCAGUUACUGACGCUGAGGAGCGAAAGCAUGGGUAGCGAACAGGAUUAGAAACCCUGGUAGUCCCAUG
rnacentral:rRNA from 1 species